GCAGACAGAGAGUCUUUCUCGCAUAUCGCGACACGCGAUUGUUUGAACCGCUCUGCGCAGCACAUGUACGCGAUCAGGCCUGUGCACGUUACCACAUUUCCGGCAGCGAGCACGAGCAAUUGUUUCAAGAAGUACUGUUGCUGUGUGAUUGUAAUACUGAUAUUCUUUCGCGCCUAAAGUUUUGUGAGCUGGUGUAUCUUUUUGAAGAGAUAUCUCCUCUGAAGAGCUGAGAGAAAAGCUGAUAUCUCCUCUGAGCUGACUUCUCCAUAUUGCAUAAUUGUGUGCAUAGUUUUUUCAAGUAUUAGACGAAACUUUUUUAAAGUCAUACAGGCCAUUUUUCAUGCACAAAAUGUGAAGAAGAGGGUGAAAUGUUUAAUCAUGUAUUACGGAGACAGAACGUUUUUGCAAAAGAACUGAUCAUACAUUUAGAACUACUGCUCAACCGGAACAUCAUAUUGGCAAAAGUAUACUAUUAGAUAUACCUAACUUUAACAUGAUAGAUAAUGUACCAAUAGAUUACAUGCAUAAUCUUUUAUUAGGUGGUAUGAAAAGGCUCCUUUGUCAUAAACGGUAUGACUGGAUUUAUGGUAAACCACCCCAUAAAUUACGAGCUCGCGAUGUAAAUAAAAUUUCAGAAAAUCUUCUAAAAUUAAAGCAAUACGUUCCUUAUGAGUUUUUUUAGAAAAACACGUUCUAUAAUUGAGUGUAAGAGAUAUAAAGCCACGGAAUAUAGAUUUUUUUUGCUCUAUUCUGGUCCUAUAGUUUUGAAAAAGGUUUUAUCAUCUAAAAUUUAUAAUAAUUUCAUAACAUUAAGUCUUGCUAGUUCUAUAAUGAUAUGUCAAUGUUAUUCGAGAAAUGAAGAUUAUGUAAUAUAUGCUCACAGUUUGAUGAAACACUUUGUCUGUCAGUCUAUUCAAAUUUACGGUCCGGAUUUUGUAUCACACAACAUACAUAACUUUUUGCAUUUAAGCGACUGUGUAAAAUUAUAUGGUUCACUUGACAAUUUUAGCGCUUUUCCUUUUGAAAAUUAUAUGCAACAAUUAAAGAAGAAAGUUCGUAAAUCAGCUCAGCCUUUACAGCAAGUUAUAUGUACAUCGCGUGCUUGAGGAAAGUAAUAUUGCUCAACAUAACUUUAAUAAUAUCUAAUAUAAUAUAAGUGUUCGAUAUACGACCUAUAUGAUUCACGCCGGACACCGAUCGCGGUGAUAUCACUGUUUUCGUUCUCGUAUCAUCUCGGUGAAAUUCGGCGUAUUCCGAAAACACGGACGAGUGGGGAAAUGAGCCUCGACGGUUUCCAUCGAUGUGUCCGUGAUAUACUUCUGUUACAAUAGUCGCGCGAAUAACAAGUAAGACCUUCACAACAACCGGCGAGCGAACGAACGAACAUUGUACAUCGAUCUACUCGGCACCGCAACAAUAAAUCUCGAUCUUGAGAAUUAAAUUUGAUUGCAUAUGUUACGUGGAUUUCCCCGUCACAUCACAGUUUGGCGAGACAAUACAAUUAAGAGAAUUACGGACAUCAAAAUACUCGCAUCACGCAUACGAGAUCACAUUUUCUCGUACAAUAAGCGAUUAAUAAUAUAAGCGAGUAGUUUGGGCACUUAUGACACUUAUAAAAA